GGACGAACGCUGGCGGUGUGCUUAACACAUGCAAGUCGUACGGUAAGGCCCUUUCGGGGGUACACGAGUGGCGAACGGGUGAGUAACACGUGAGUAACCUGCCCACAACUUUGGGAUAACGCUAGGAAACUGGUGCUAAUACUGGAUAUGUGCUCCUGCUGCAUGGUGGGGGUUGGAAAGCUCCGGCGGUUGUGGAUGGACUCGCGGCCUAUCAGCUUGUUGGUGGGGUAGUGGCCUACCAAGGCGGCGACGGGUAGCCGGCCUGAGAGGGUGACCGGCCACAUUGGGACUGAGAUACGGCCCAGACUCCUACGGGAGGCAGCAGUGGGGAAUAUUGCACAAUGGGCGCAAGCCUGAUGCAGCAACGCCGCGUGCGGGAUGACGGCCUUCGGGUUGUAAACCGCUUUCAGCAGGGACGAAGCUUUUUGUGACGGUACCUGCAGAAGAAGCACCGGCUAACUACGUG
rnacentral:rRNA from 1 species